UCUGAUUGCUUUCAUAAAAAGAUCACAUUAAAUAUUCUAUUAUAUUGCUGAACUAGAAGCAACUAUCAUGAACUUUUAUCAUCAUUCCAUCAAAAUAUUCUUGAAUGCUAUGUUUUGUGCGGCCGUUGCUAAUUUUUUUUUCUGCAUAACAUAUAACACUUAAAAGAUGCUUUAUGGAUCAUAUAACAGUCUAUAAAAUGCGUUGUUAAUGUUAUAUUAACUAAAUAAUGACCAACUCUCAUUUGAAGCGAGGUGCUACCAAUCUAUCAUCCAAAGCUGCUUUCUUCUCAUUUUUAUUUCAGUAACGAGUUGAUCAUUUUCAUAUUGAGAAUCGCUUCGGAAACCUUCAAUAUUUGGUUAUUAAUUUACAGAUAUCGACUUUAAGAUUAUACCAAUAGGAAAUAAUAAAACUCUACUAAUGGCUGGCGGGUUCACAUUUUCGUUGAACCGAAAAUCACAACACUACUAUUGCUCGAAGAAACAAUCUGGGGAUUGUAAAGCUAAGGUGCAUGUUAGAAAUGGGAAUAUAGAUCUGCAGAAAUCCUUCUUGCAACAUACACACAAGCCACCGCGGUAUGUUGUGAUGGCGGACGGUAUCUAUCAUAAACUGUGAAGUGAAUCUGUUUAUUGAAUGACGGACUCAACGAACAUAUUUUGUAAUAAGUGUAUAUCACUUAUGGAGAGGCUUAACUCUGACUGACAGAGGACUAACCGGUGUCAAAUUUUAUAAGUUACAUACAUAUAAGAUAAUUUAAAGUAAUGUUACAAAUAAAGUUACAUUUAAAGGCUACACAUCAACGUUUAUAAUUAUAUGUUUUCUUCUUCUCUGUCUCUUCUUCAUCUCUGUCUGUUAGAGGUCGUUCGAGUGCACUCCAGCACGGGGUCGCCCACAGCAGACUUGAUCUGUUCGGUCCAUCGUCGUAUCAUAGGUGACCUUCCAUGCGGUCUAAUGGCACGAUAAGGCGCUCUAUAGACUGGCCGCCUCGUCUCGAUACUUGUCCAACGAAAGCGAGUAUGCCGGAUUGCACCAUGGAAGAUAAAGUUAUCGGCUGAUUCCAUCUGGUUUGAAGAAGAACUUGCUGAUGUACGACGGUUACACUUACUCUCAGAUUAACGAAUGUCAUUGGUACUGUUCUAAGAAGGGCAAGGGAUGCAGAGCGAAGAUAAAGUUGGACAGAGGCUCGAUUCUUCCCGUCGAAAUACGGAAAGUACAUAUUGUACUACAAGCAGUAUACGUUUGUGACGAUGACCAGCAAGAAUCGAUGGUAUUGUUCGAAGAAACCGUCCUGCAAGGCACGAGUGGUGGUCGUGGACAGCGACUUCCUUGAAGUUGGGAGUCAUAAUCAUCCGCCACCCAACUUGUGUGUCAACCAUGAGGGGGCUUUGAUCCGCUGUUGAACUUCAUUAUUUACUAUAUUUAACCGUUAAGGCCGGUGUGCCUUCAUCUUACACCAUUUAUACGUCUAGAUGGGUGAAAACAUCGAAAAAAAUUGAGGUUGACUGUUUACUUCUAUUUUGAGCAAUGCACGCACACUAACACGAAGUGACAUACAAAUCGUGAGUGUAAGACGUAGCUUAUCACGCACUAAAGUAAUAAACCUGACCUGGGGGUUUACGCCCUUUCUCCGAAACGAAACUUCUUAAACGAACGAAAUUUAAACGAAGUUUCGAUAGUGACCCUACUCUAUUUUGUUUUCGGACAGAUCGACGAGGUUCGGAACCAUAGACAAUAUUCGUGAACGAAUGGUGAACGAUUGAAAUGAAUAUUAUUUGUAUCCGACUAAUUUGAAGAGUACUAUUUCGUGCCAACGAUGGGGAAGUCACUAAUGACAACCAAAGGUAUUUGUAUUACAGACCCAAUGUAAACAUGUCAAAUUAGUACUUAAGGUUUUUUGUUUGAAUUCUUUAAAAAGUUUUCUAAAAAGAGUUCUUAAUUAUGUUAAUAUAAUUUUUUAAAUUACAUUCUAAAGGUCUUUUUAACACACCUCACUACUCGUUCUAUCCGAUAGUUUUAAGUAAAUAUCAGUUCUAUACUUGUUUUUUUUCACUAAAAAUAUUGCCUGUUCAUAUAACCAUCCUUUUAAAACUACAUCUUUUCAAAUGCAGCUGCACAUAGGUUGAUGAAGCUAUACCUUUUAAAUUAUAUGUCUCAGUACCUACUCUUAGUUAGCUGUAAGUAAGUUUUUAUGUUACAAUAAAUUAUAAUAAAAAAUAAA